rnacentral:rRNA from 1 species
UUAAUUUGAGAGUUUGAUCCUGGCUCAGGACGAACGCUGGCGGCGUGCCUAAUACAUGCAAGUCGAACGAACUCUGGUAUUGAUUGGUGCUUGCAUCAUGAUUUACAUUUGAGUGAGUGGCGAACUGGUGAGUAACACGUGGGAAACCUGCCCAGAAGCGGGGGAUAACACCUGGAAACAGAUGCUAAUACCGCAUAACAACUUGGACCGCAUGGUCCGAGCUUGAAAGAUGGCUUCGGCUAUCACUUUUGGAUGGUCCCGCGGCGUAUUAGCUAGAUGGUGGGGUAACGGCUCACCAUGGCAAUGAUACGUAGCCGACCUGAGAGGGUAAUCGGCCACAUUGGGACUGAGACACGGCCCAAACUCCUACGGGAGGCAGCAGUAGGGAAUCUUCCACAAUGGACGAAAGUCUGAUGGAGCAACGCCGCGUGAGUGAAGAAGGGUUUCGGCUCGUAAAACUCUGUUGUUAAAGAAGAACAUAUCUGAGAGUAACUGUUCAGGUAUUGACGGUAUUUAACCAGAAAGCCACGGCUAACUACGUGCCAGCAGCCGCGGUAAUACGUAGGUGGCAAGCGUUGUCCGGAUUUAUUGGGCGUAAAGCGAGCGCAGGCGGUUUUUUAAGUCUGAUGUGAAAGCCUUCGGCUCAACCGAAGAAGUGCAUCGGAAACGGGAAACUUGAGUGCAGAAGAGGACAGUGGAACUCCAUGUGUAGCGGUGAAAUGCGUAGAUAUAUGGAAGAACACCAGUGGCGAAGGCGGCUGUCUGGUCUGUAACUGACGCUGAGGCUCGAAAGUAUGGGUAGCAAACAGGAUUAGAUACCCUGGUAGUCCAUACCGUAAACGAUGAAUGCUAAGUGUUGGAGGGUUUCCGCCCUUCAGUGCUGCAGCUAACGCAUUAAGCAUUCCGCCUGGGGAGUACGGCCGCAAGGCUGAAACUCAAAGGAAUUGACGGGGGCCCGCACAAGCGGUGGAGCAUGUGGUUUAAUUCGAAGCUACGCGAAGAACCUUACCAGGUCUUGACAUACUAUGCAAAUCUAAGAGAUUAGACGUUCCCUUCGGGGACAUGGAUACAGGUGGUGCAUGGUUGUCGUCAGCUCGUGUCGUGAGAUGUUGGGUUAAGUCCCGCAACGAGCGCAACCCUUAUUAUCAGUUGCCAGCAUUAAGUUGGGCACUCUGGUGAGACUGCCGGUGACAAACCGGAGGAAGGUGGGGAUGACGUCAAAUCAUCAUGCCCCUUAUGACCUGGGCUACACACGUGCUACAAUGGAUGGUACAACGAGUUGCGAACUCGCGAGAGUAAGCUAAUCUCUUAAAGCCAUUCUCAGUUCGGAUUGUAGGCUGCAACUCGCCUACAUGAAGUCGGAAUCGCUAGUAAUCGCGGAUCAGCAUGCCGCGGUGAAUACGUUCCCGGGCCUUGUACACACCGCCCGUCACACCAUGAGAGUUUGUAACACCCAAAGUCGGUGGGGUAACCUUUUAGGAACCAGCCGCCUAAGGUGGGACAGAUGAUUAGGGUGAAGUCGUAACAAGGUAGCCGUAGGAGAACCUGCGGCUGGAUCACCUCCUUUCUAAGGAA